rnacentral:rRNA from 1 species
AUUGAACGCUGGCGGCAGGCCUAACACAUGCAAGUCGAGCGAGCGGCGGACGGGUGAGUAAUGUAUGGGGACUGCCCGAUAGAGGGGGAUAACUAAUGGAAACGGUAGCUAAUACCGCAUACUAUCGGAUAACCCAUAUGGGAUUAGCUAGUAGGUGAGGUAAUGGCUCACCUAGGCGACGAUCCCUCGCUGGUCUGAGAGGAUGAUCAGCAAACCUGGCACUGAGCACCGGCCAAGACUCCAACGGAGCCAGCAGUGGGAAAUAUUGCAAAAUGGGUCCAAGCCUGAUGCAGCCAUGCGUCGUGUAUGAAGAAGGCCCUAGGGUUGUAAAGUACUUUCAGUCGGGAGGCGUUACCGACAGAAGAAGCACGGGCUAACUCCGUGCCAUCAGCCGCGGUAAUA